UUGAGGCAAGACUUACUGAGGGCUCUCCACUGUGAUAAGAGUCAUGGCAGCAGCAGUUAAUGAAGAUCUUGCCAGACAAAGACUUUGGGAGGCAUUGGUUUAAACUGAAGGGAGAAGUCUAAGUAACUGGAGCCUGUGGGAGAGUCCAAGAGAGCAUGUAGCCCCUGGGAAAGUAGUGGGGGGGGCAACAGCAAAAGUGAGAAAGGGAUAAUAUUGGAAAUCAUCCCAGAAAAUAGCAGAGAGAUGCAGACAGCUCUUUCUUUUUUUCACUUCUCCCAAGACCACAAACUGGAAUACAAGGGCUGAUGCAGAAACUCCCAGGAGUGAAGAUCUUUGUAAGCCCUCCAGGUGAGUGACAAAGGAGUAUUGAACUGUAGAAGUUGGAGAAGACCACAAAGCUGAUCUGCAGACCACUGCACACACAGGUGGAUUAACGCAUGGGCCCAUGGGGGCCCCUGCCAUUCAGAGCCCGCCUGGGUGCCUGGGUUCUCUCGGAAAACAGCGGGUUUCCCCUUGCUGGCGGGCAUCAUACUAGGACUGCAACGGACCCUGCUUGGGGCUGCUGAGAGCAAGAUGCAGAGGGCACCGCCUGCAUAUGCAUGGCCACAUGCAUGCACAUGGCCAGGAAAACAGCUGGGCAGCAUGGAGAGCAGCUGCGGGAAAAACCUCUCAUGAAAAAUCUUGACCAGUGCAGAGCAGGAACAGUUUCAACUCUAUAACGCUUGAUCCGAUGUGAUGCCACGCCAGUGAACAAGUUCGCUGCAUUGCUCAUCUCCCUGGAGAACACCUCAUCCAAACUUCCUUGGACACGUUCUUUAAGAAAGCAGACAAGACUCCUGCAGCCAAGACUCCUGAGAAGACUCCAGCCAAGAACCCUUCAAAAAGUCCAACCAAGAGCCUUUCAAAAAGUCCAGCAAAGUCACCUCAAAGAAGUCCUUCCAAAUCAAUACAAUUGCUAUUUACAAUACAAAUACAUUAAUGUAGCUAUAUUACUCAUCUAUAAUUGAUCGAGUACAAAAUUCUGGGUUAUUUUUGGUGAAAAUAGGGUAUCGGGCCUUGGUUCAGGAACCAGUCCCCCAUUGUUUCUUAUGAGAAUUUCUUAUGAGGUUUCUUACGGUUCUGAGUUACAACAUUUCGACUUAAGAUGCGGUUUUCAGGAAUUGUGUCGCAAGUCCAAGGACUGUCUGUAUUCAUUGUUAUUAAUUAGGAAAAAACUGUCCAAGGUUAUCAAACUAAUUUUGGGUGUUUCCUUUAUCUUCAGAGCAGUCUUGGGUACCAUCUACAUUUUGAGACAGUUUGGAAAGACAAGCCUCUUAUGUUUGCCUUAGCAAGGUAUGGUAUUGCUCUUCAGGGACCAGGUCAGUUGGGCACAAAUGUAAAAAGAGCUCUGACUGGCAGCAACUACAUUCUAGGAAUGAAAGAAAAAAAAUAAAAGAGCUUGUAUUAAGGAUUCUUUUGAAAACAGCAUCCUUAGUGUAUUUAAGCUUAAGAGUCCCAAAGGGACUAUAUGGUCAAAUCAGCCAUUAAGAAGGAGGGAGACUUCUCCCUAGAUAACCUAGGCCAAUUACAGUUUUGUGUGUUCAUAGAAAGUGAAAUACUGUUGUUGAGAGAUUUUUAGUGGACCCCUUCCAGUUAAACAAGAGAGUUUUACCAUCAAGAGGAGAGACAUAGAUCCAAAAGAGUGAGAGAAUAAACAGAACUAGAUACAUCAAGAAGGAGAGAGAGGAACAAAAUUAGCAAGGGAUUGAGCCAAAGGUAUGGAAACAGGAAGUAAAAAGGCAGCACUAGCAAAUGAGGAAGUAAUGGAUAAAAGAAAAGUGGAAGAAGAACAGAAAAUGAAAAUAAAAUAAAAAUUCUUGUUUGUGUACAAUGAUAAAAAAUGAAGGGCCUUCAGGACUCCCAAACAGAGAGAAAUGAGUAUUACUGAAAGAGAAAACUCUGAUGAAGAGGCCAUGAAGAAGAAGAAUCAAAUAGGACUAGAACUGCAUAAGAGUUUAGAUACACAUCCUUUGGUGCAAUUAAAAUACCUUUUUAAUGACAAACAGAAAAAUGUGUUAGAGAUUGUAUUCUUUUUCAUAUCUGUCACAACCCAAAGUUGUGAGUUUUUGUUUGUGUGUGCUUCAGCACUGCUAAAUUAUGUUCCCGCUAAAUUGCAGCUUCCUUGCAUGGUGGAGUUCUCUGCUGCAGAAGAGAACCCCGGUGCAACGGAGAAUUUCCUGCCAAUUUGUAGCUUUCUUUGCAUGGUGCAUUUCUUUUGCGUCUCAGAAAUGCACGGUGCAAAGGAGUUCCCGCCAUUUGUAUGAAGAUUCGUGCCACGUCAUUGGCCGAUUCUAAUACAUGCACACAUGGCAGCUAGCAAUUGGCUUGCUAGCCGUAUAAAGAGCUUGGGUGGUUUCCGCCCAAGUUGGAGAACUCCAAGGAGACCCCCGCAAGGGAAAACUCCACGAACACCAGGAGGAGGAGACUUCGCGCUGUGUGAAGAUCUCUAAGUGCUGCGGAUCCUCACGGACCCAACGCGUUUCUUAAGAAGGCAACAGAGGUCUAAACAGCCUCUGGCCUCUCCCCGUCGCCAAGCGCAAUCCUAGACGUAUCCCUUUCCUAUAUACUCAAGAUCCGAACCCACGGAGCUUUAAUAACUCCGGGGCCAGAGAGCCGAACCAAACCCAUGGAGUUUCAGCAACUCCGUGGGAAAGAAAUUGCCAAACCCGCGGAGCCUUAACAACUCCGGGGCCAAAGAACCGAAUUUGUCGUAGUCCUCCAACAAGGAUUUAAGCGGAGCUGCACCUGGAAACUGUCCAGCCUACACUGCGACCAUCUUGGGUGUAAGUAAAUAAUCUUUAAAUCAACCAUUACGCCUCUGUGACUAAUUCUAGCCCGUGCGUGCCUUGCCGCCGUACGGUCUCCUCCGGCCCCGCGUGCCCGGGCUGCUGGCCACAGCCCGCGUGCACAAAGACGGGCCAGGCUCGCCCCCAGCCCGCACAAUAUCCAUGUCAAUGUAUGCUACCUUCUUGCUUAGCAAAGCACUUCCCAAACAUUCAAAUAGGGUUAUGAACUGUCCCAAAGAGAUUUCAAUCUAAGGCCAAACAGUGAGGAGAGAAAAAAUAAAUAGAUGUUUUAUACACCUGUAUUGCCUGACAACUUUCUAAAGUUUGAGUCUUACAGAAGCAAUCAGAAUUACCAGGGAACCAGCCCAAUUUUAACUUAAAAAAAAGAAUCAGGCCACUUUAAAGAAGCAGGGCUGGAAGGGACCUCCAUACAUCAUCUAGACCAAGCACUGCCUAAGGCAAGAUCAUCCUUACUCAAACCAGCCUAUACAAAUACACUGUCUAACCUCUUAGCAAAAUUACACCAUCAGCACUGACACAACAAAAGACCUGCCACAGGUAAAGUGGGGCACCAUGGUGGCCAAUGACAUGCUGCUGUAAAGGUGUUUAAUAUGCUGAGAUCCCAGGAGGAGGGUCAAUCCAUCCCGUUACAAAGGAAGGCAAAAACCUCCACAGUCCAUACCAAUUCCUUCCUGAACCCAAAUAUGGCAAUUGCUCUGACCCUGAGCUUCUCUUUGUUCCAGUUUAGUGAGAACCAAAAGUGAUGGUAAGCCUUUGGGCAAAAGUGUCUCCUAGAUGCACCCUCAAUAUAGUCAGAAGAAGUGAUACCAGCACACAUUACAUUAUUACACAAAGUAACAGCCAAAAUGGAGGCUCUCACCUGUCUGUUGUGCUACUAUAUCGCUAUUUUUGCCUCUUGGGGAAAGGGAACUGUAUUAUUCAGAGUAAAAGGAGAGUAAAAAUGAGCUGAGGAGGUUGUAUGAUGAAUGGUUUGUGGCAUCUUAAUGAAACAAAAAUAUCACUAAAUGUGAGAAGACAUGAUAACUUCUCUUUGCUCCUAAUUUUUAGCGCUCCUCCCCUCCAUUAAGUGUAUGUGUCCUUUUAUACGGGUGUUUUAGCUUUAUUUUGAAAUUGUCCUUGGUUUCUAUUUCAUAUGCAAUGGUCAUUUACUGGAUCACAUCACUUCUGUAUGUAAUCAGAAAUAAUAACAAUGCUGCCAUGUGUGUUCCCCAUUGCUGUGUCGUUUCCUACUUUGUCACAGGCAUACAGCGUGGGCGGUCAUUUUGCCAAUUAUACAGUUGGUCUGAUAAAAGAUACCA